UGGAAGAAAACCGGAAACGAGAGGUAUCAAGUGCACUCCAUGUGUAUUUUAAAGACUGGCUCUACGCAUCUGGAAAUAUAAGGCAACUCUAUUGCCUACAAGGUGACUAAUAUUGAAUAUAUAGACCAAGUGGAAUAUGUCUCAUUCGUUCCUGUAGAGCUCCCUCGAUCAUAUUUGGCAUAUUGCUAGUGAAGAAUCCCUCCCAAGACAAAAAAGAAGAAGAAAAAAAGAGAAACCAGCCUGAUUUGUAGUUUGGAACCAAUACGCACCACGUAACUUAUCUGCACAGAAUACUUCCUUUAAGCUUUCCUUUAGAUUAUUAUUUUUUUUUCUGCUUUGGUCAUGUUUAAUUUUUGUUUCUUUUGACAUUUCCAAUCCCUCGUUUUUGAAAAUCUCAGCUUCAGAUAGAGCAUGAUGAUUUGAAUUGUUAUAAGUAAUAACUUGUAAGCAAAACUUUUUUUUUGAAAUACUUCGUCUUGAUAGAUUUAAGAGAACUCAA